GCUCGCAGGAGGUGGGGGCACGGAGCGGCGAUAGAGCUAUAGCUCAGCUGCAGCAAACAUCAUUGUGCGAGCGGAGGGGAGACGAAUCCGCCGGCAGUGCGCGAAUACGCACGGACCCCUGGCAACACGGAGAGCCUUGCGCUUCCCUGCCCGUUGAACCGUACAGGAAUGGUGAGGGGUGCCAGACAGACACAGCCGUGGACAGACAGAGUGGGAAUCACAAGCCGUCCCCUCAGACAUCAGGUAGAGAGAUUUACCAUUCGCUUCAACUGAACCCUGCUCUCCAAUUGACCUUAGGAACCUUCUGACACCCGUGCUCUCCUAUUGGGCUGUGCUGGAGGCCUGCGCUGAGACUACAAACUGUGUUGGGAUUUUGUAAUCACCUCAAUGGACUGCAACACAUACUGAACACUGGAGGCUUGAGCUGAAUGAGGU